CACGUAGGGGCCAAGCGUUGUCCGGAUUUAUUGGGCGUAAAGAGCUCGUAGGCGGUUCAGUCAGUUGGGUGUGAAAACUCCGGGCUUAACUCGGAGAGGCCACCCAAUACUGCUGUGACUUGAGUCCGGUAGGGGAGUGGGGAAUUCCUGGUGUAGCGGUGAAAUGCGCAGAUAUCAGGAGGAACACCGGUGGCGAAGGCGGAUCUCUGGGCCGAUACUGACGCUGAGGAGCGAAAGCGUGGGGAGCGAACAGG
rnacentral:rRNA from 1 species